ensembl:misc_RNA Metazoa_SRP Metazoan signal recognition particle RNA
GCCGGGCGUGGUGGUGCACACCUGUAGUCCCAGCUACUCGGGAGGCUGAGGUGGGAGGAUUGCUUGAGCCCAGGAGUCUGAGGUUGCAGUGAGCUGUGAUUGUGCCACCGUACUCCAGCCUGGGCAACAGAGUGAGAUCCUGUCUUUA